AUACUAUGUCAUAUAAGAACUAUAUAGUUAAGACUGUCUACAUAUUUGACAUGGGUAUUUAGUCUACAAUGUUUACAAACUUGUCAUGUUUACAACUAAAGCUAAAUUAAUUCAACAAGCCGAUCAUUAAUUUGCGGAAAGAUAAGAUAUUAUUCACGAAACGCCAUUCCCAAUUCAUCUUGAAUUCUAGUGUUUACACAAAUGAAAAUAUUUGAUAUUUAUUCGGCUGAUUCCAUCCGGAUUUAUGUGCAGUUAUGGGGUCUGUAAGUGGACAAGCAACAAGUGGAUCUCCACCACUUAUUUAUCUAUAUACAAGUGAAAUUCCGGUAUGGUUAGAGGUGGUGUUGGGGAUAACUACAGUAACAGCUUCGUUACUAUUAUUGACAUGUCUAACACUGUGCUGUAUGCGACUGUGUGGAUGUUGGACAGGGAAUUUUUUUGGUGUUGGAGCACUAAAACGACCAAUGGAUGACACGGAUCAUAUGGGGUGCUGGUGUUGUAGACCACAUUAUGUUUCAGACAGAUCGCGUAGAUGACGGACAAAUGUUAUAUAUAAAGAGUGCAUGGAGUUGACAAAAAUCUAUCAGAAAGAAGUAACGGAGACGUACACGUCACGGACUGAUUUGAAAUUUCUAAAACUUAUAAAACACUUGUAGAUGGUUUACCUUAAUCACAGUAAUCUAGGAAAAAAGAGUUUUUUUUUAUUCAUGAUGAACCAAGUAGUUCUAUUUCUUUUAUUCGCACUAGCUGUUAAUUUAUAGUUGAAUGUGCUCGUUUACUUACUUUUAUACAUUGUAUAUACAUUUGUGUUUGUAAUUGACUCAUAUUAUGUUUGCAUAUACUUGUACAUACUUUAACGUCAUUAUUGCUUUUAAUAGAUUUUGUAAAUGUGUUUAUCAUAUACCUUUUGUCAUGUUUACUAUAUAUUGUUAUCACAAGUAAAACACUUUGAACCUACUAUAUGUAUGUUG